GUCAGGACCGCGACGGCAGCAGAGCAUGUCUAGACAACUUCUGAGCCAAAGAGGAACACUUACCAGAGAUGAUGCCAAUGGCGACGUACAUAUGAGAAACCUCUUGUGAGAAGGAGGCGGCCACCAUCCCGGUGCUGACAAGUAGCCCCCCCAACAUCACCACCAGACGGUGUCCGAAACGAUUGCUCAGGACUGUGGCGAGGGGAGCUGCCGGGAAAGAACAAAAUGAUAUUUUAACUCACAGAGGCUUCAGGGUUAGCUGCCAUAAGACUCCUUCCUCCACAUCUUGCACAUGGAGAAAUGAUGUCAAAUACAAAUAUGGCCGAGCACAGUGGCUCAUGCCUGUAAUCCCAGCACUUUGGGAGGUUGAGGACGGAGGAUCGCUUGAGCCCAGGAGUUCAAGACCAGCCUGGGCAACAUGGUGAAACCCCGUCUCUACAAAAAAUACAAAAAUUAGCCAGGCAUGGUGGUGUGCACCUGUAGUCCCAGCUACUUGGCAGGCAGAGAUGGGAGGAUUGUUUGAGCCUGGGAGGCAGACGAUGCAGCGAGCCAAGAUUGCACCACUGCACUCCAUACUGGGUGACAGAGUGAGACCCUGUCUCAAGAAAAAACAAAACCAAACCAUAACACAUUUCAUGCAAAGUCAGUGCAGGAAUUAUUUUACUGUUUGUUCAAAUUCAACACGAUUUGUCAGACUCCUG
rnacentral:sRNA from 1 species